rnacentral:lncRNA from 1 species
UAUAUAUUUCCCUUAUGACUUAAGCAUCGGAGGGGCGAUGAAGACACACCUCAUUGUCUUUGUUGCAGGUACCGAAAGACCUUGUUCGUGCCCUUUCUCUUUCUUCAUGCUCGAGAGAUUUACCAGGUACGAUUUUUGGUAGUAUCAGUAAUACCGUCUGUGGGAACCACUACCAAAAGUCAUGGUGAAUAUACGAUCAGGUCUUCCUCCAGCAAACUCAUCCAUUCCAAACCAUCCUCCUGCUGAAGAUCCUCCGACUUCUCAAAAAGAAUAAACAGAACUACCAAUACCCCAACCAACAGUUGUUACCACUAGAGCAUUCAAGGAACAUCGUCAACAACUUUUCAGCUUGACUCAACUACUGAACCCAAGCACCACACCUACACUUCCGACCCCCGCACCAGAAAGCAUAUUUAUGGCCGAUGCUUGAGCUCGAGGUUCCGUUCUUAUUGUUCAUGCUGUUGGGACCUCGGGCAUAUAGCCCAUGCCCCCGGCCUCAAGGUUGGUCACUUGAACAUCGUGGAAGGCUAGUCCACGUGGAAGUACUAGUAUAGCUCGAGCUCUAGCCUAAAAGAAAAGCUACCCGUGGAAUGACCACAACCUAAAGCUUUAUUGCAAGUAGCUAUCCCAGACCCCAAGUAUGUAGAUUGCUUAAUAUGUGUCCUUUUAGCCUUGUGU